GAAUCUAAACCCUUCCCAGAGUAUCAAUUGGAGGGCAAGUCUGGUGCCAGCAGCCGCGGUAAUUCCAGCUCCAAUAGCGUAUAUUAAAGUUGUUGCAGUUAAGAAGCUCGUAGUUGAAUUUCUGCCUUAUCAUUAAUUUCGCUUCCGAACGUAAUUUUAUUGAUUUGGCAUCUUCUGGAUUUAUAUUUUUAUUAAUAUUUUUCCAGUAUUUACUUUGAGAAAACUAGAGUGUUUCAAACAGGCUAUUGCCUUGAAUACUACAGCAUGGAAUAAUGAAGUAGGACUUUGGUUCUAUUUUGUUGGUUAUCGAACCAUAGUAAUGGUUAAUAGGAGCAGUUGGGGGCAUUCGUAUUUAACUGUCAGAGGUGAAAUUCUUAGAUUUGUUAAAGACGAACUACUGCGAAAGCAUUUGCCAAGGAUGUUUUCAUUAAUCAAGAACGAAAGUUAGGGGAUCGAAGACGAUCAGAUACCGUCGUAGUCCUAACCAUAAACUAUGCCGACUAGAGAUUGGAGGUCGUCAGUUUAAACGACUCCUUCAGCACCUU
rnacentral:rRNA from 1 species